UACAGAGGCCCCGAGCGUUACUGAGAAUCACUGGGUUUAAAGGGUGCGUAGGUGGCGCGUUAAGUCCGUUGUGAAAUCCCUGGGCUCAACCCAGGAAUUGCUUCGGAUACUGGCGUGCUUGAGGCCGGUAGGGGUCACUGGAACUGACGGUGGAGCGGUGAAAUGCGUAGAUAUCGUCUGGAACGCCGAAGGUGAAAACAGCUCGCUGGGGCUGUGCUGACGCUGAGACACGAAAGCCAGGGGAGCGAACGGG
rnacentral:rRNA from 1 species